UGAAGUUCAGUUAGCAUAUUUUUGUUCCCAGUCAUAUGUCUAGAGCAACCACUAUCAAAAUACCAAUCUUCUUUGGCUGAAACUCUGAGGGAAGUGUGGGCUAUUAGACUUGUAACCUUUGUCUUAGGAACCCACUGCUUUUUGUUGACAGUCCUGUGAUGCUUGGAUCUUGAUUGAUAUUGAGACUGAACAGUGCUAGGAUAACCAUAUAGCUUAUGGCAGAAGGGCUUCAGGUGGC
rnacentral:lncRNA from 1 species